rnacentral:lncRNA from 1 species
CUGGGAUUACAGGCUAUUACACGUCCUUUUAUACUGACUGGACUUUUGAUCUAAAAAACAGUUUGGCUGACUUGGAGUGAUGGAGUUACUAGUCUCUGUGUCAGGGACUGCAAAUGCUGGGCCUCCAGCAGGGGCAGGGCGGAUCCAGCGAAAGACAGAAGUGGGUGGGCCCAAGGGGAUGGAGAGCUGCAGAACACAAGUCCCGCCUCAAGGGGGCAGCAACUGCCCAGAGUCCGCUGACGGCCGCUGGGUGGGACUGCAAGCCCAGGGUUGCCAGAUCUGUCAGCUUUUUUCAAGAUAAGCUUGAAAUCAGAUUUUCACAUGGAAUUGUCAGCUAAUUCAACAAUUUAAAACACAGCAUGGGCUGAAUGCAACAUGCCUAUGGUUCAACAUUGGCUGCAGGCCACCAGUUUGUGCGUUCGGAUCCAGGAGGAUUCCAUUAAGGAUUGUGCACCUCAGAGCCAUCUGCAAAGCUGGUGCAGACCCUUCAUUUGCUUCUAGAAAAUCGGGUUUACUCCACAUGGGGUCCGCAAAGGAUGAGGACAAAGCCAGUGCCCUGAGGUAGACCGUGGGAGUCACCCACCCACUCAUCAUUAUUUAAUCCAGCACAUUAACCUCCCACCACGAGCCAGGAGAUCCAGUGGUGAAUGUGACAGGAGGAGUCCCUGUUUUCAGGGACCCUGUGUUCUAGCUGGGGAGACACUUGAAUUAAUGAGUAACACUUGUGAUACAUGAGGAGUUGCAGUACAGCAUGGGGGUUAAAAGUCUGGGUUUGAGUCCUGACUCUACUGCUUGCUAGUUGUCAUUUUAGGUAAAUCCCCUAAUCUAGGUCCAGUUGCCUUACUUCUCGCCUAUGGAAUGGCCAUGAUAACCUCAUAGGGCUGUUCUGGGGAUUCACUGAGACAAUGCAAAUAAUUAUUAGUUGCUGCUAUUAAAUAGAGAGCUGUGAGAGCAGGGAAGAGGGGAGGCUAGGCUUAGCAUGGGGACUUCCCCAUCCCAGUGAAUACUGGGGCUUUCUGCCAGUGAGGGGAGCAGGAGGCCACAGGGAUUGGAAGCUCCAGGCCCAGGAGAGGCUCAGUCCUUUUCUGCUGAGAUGGCUGCUAUGAGGUAGCUGGCUCAUUUCCUGUCUGUUUUUUCUUCCUAUGGAUCCAAUUUCAGCAGCCUACUUGUCUCAGUAGGAUAUGGUGCCCAAGGACUGGGCAGGUACUGCUCUGCUCUUGGCCACGAUGGAAGCAGGCCAGGCCUUUCUAACUAUGAACCAGAGCCCUUCCAUGAAGCUGCUGCAUUUUGGAGCUCAUCAAACCCUACAACUAAGUUUUAAAAAUCUAAGUGCAUGUACGAAACAAGUCAGAAACCCUUUCCUACGCCCUUAAGUACAGAAUACCAGCUUCUGCUGGCAGAGGCCUCAGCCACAGGGACAUUUUGGACCUUCGUUUCACCUGGGCAAAAAGGGAGGAGGCAAGUGUCAAGAGACUUGGCUCACCAGCAAUGUGUCUGGGUCCUUGGAGUUCAGCUCUGUGUCUAUGACAUGGUCUCUGAUCUCAGGUGGUCUGCAAUCCAACCCUGUAGAGAAUCAGUCUUGGAUUUGGAAGGGAACUUCUAGGGCAUCUAAGUCCAACCUCCAUCCAAAGGGGGAAGCUUUUCUAUAAGAAACUUGGCCUUGCCAGGCGCGGUGGCUCAUGCCUGUA